GUGAGCAUGGACUCCAUAUUUCUGCAGCAGUGCAUCCCAAAUUCACCAUUUUUAAUGAGUUGAGGUGGGUAGUUUCAAGUUUUGGCAAUUUAGAGAAGGUGUGUGUAGAGCAAGAUGGAGAAGCAGGGCACGUGCAUUACUAACUCAUGCAGCAUUUUAACUGCGAGUUUAAGGUUUCGGUGUUAUCUCCAGUGAGUUAGUUUUUCAUGUGCCCAUCUUCCCCAUCAUGACCACUGCACCUUAUAAUUAUAAAUCCUUACUCAACUCAGCUACUGAGAAGAUUCUCACAGCAAAAAUCAUCACGAAACCAAUCAAAGAAGGUAAUUUAAAGCUCCAUUUCAGGAAAUAUACCAGUCAAGGCUUUGAAGUCACAAUCUGCGGCGCAGGCGCCGUGAAGUUUUAUGCAGCAAAAUUAAACAAGGUAAUAAUCGGGCAGUGCAUUAAUAAAGUAGGUAAAAGAUUGUUCUUCCUAGGACUUUGAGCUAUCCUUUUUCUUCCAGUUUCUUAAUUUCCUUGCUGGUUUUAACAGUAAGACAACUCAGUGAGCGGAACUUAAUAUGUGGAAGUGAAGAAACUGCAUCGAAAUCACCAUGAAGUACAACUAAAAAGUAAACCCAGAAAAACCUCAACUUUCGAACCACUAUCAUAUAAAUUGAAUAUAGAAUUAUAGGUCGUGUCUAAAGUGGCAGGAGCAUAUUCUCUUCUUUAAUAUUCUUUUUAAGCCGUCUAGCAGCUUGGAUGAUUGUUUUGAAGGUAAGGAAAAGAAAAAGCAGCAGUCAAACGCAAAACACAGAAAGAUUUAAGGAGAAAUUAAGGGGUUUUUUCUUUUUCAUCUAGUUGAUUAUUUUUCUGUUCUCUUUUCUUUUUUAACAAUCUCAUCAUUUUUCUGGAAAAAGAUACUACUUUUGUGGUUUUGAAUAGGCAAAUUGGUGUCAUCACCAGGAGACAAUACAAGAUAACCACCACAUGCCUCUUGCUUCUCUUCCUUAACAUCCAUGACAAUGAAAAGCCAUACACAGCACAGAAGCUCUUUUCUUGGAUUCCAAGAAUGUAUGAUUUUCCUUUUUACCCACGUAGCAGACUUUUUCCCAGUUGCAGUUUGGAAGGUAGUAUAGAAAAAGGAUGGCCACUAUCAUGUAAAUCUGAUAUUGAAUCUGUUCUUCAUUUUUUGUUUUUUUCUAUCUUUUGUUAGGUUACAGUAGUAACAGCACCGCAUUUAAUCUCUACUGACAAUUUGUGACUGACCUUCUUAACCGUUGCCCAGAAAAUUAAGUGCAUUCAGUCAGUUUAAGGUAAGGUUUUAACAAUUGCAGGAAUCUUUAUGUCUGUCUGACAGAGUUUUAAAAAUAAUAAUAAUAAAAUAAUUUAAAAAAUCCUAAUUGCUAUAUCAUAAAUGUCUUAUAAAAUUCAAAAAAUUUCCUCAUGUUAUCUAUUACAUUAUAACUCUUUAAAAAAGAUGCAUCAAUAUAUAUUAAUAAUACGUAUUAUAUUAUCAAAUACGCUUAUUUUAUUAUAUUAAUUUUUGAUAUACUUCAAAAUGUUUAUCAUAUUUCACUUAUAUGAUAUCACAAAUAAGUACUAUAUAUAAAAAGAUACUAAUAAGAAUGGUUAUCAUGUUUUUAGAUGGCCCAAUUCUUUUAUUGUUCAUGUUUGAUGUCAAAUGUUGCGGUUGGCCAGUAAUUUACAGUGCCGCUUAAUCAGUAUUAUGGACUUGUAUAAAAAGCCUUUAGAGUUUACAGGUUUGCCAAAUAAUGAUACCAGUGUGAGCAGCUCACAAAAUUUUGGAUACCUGUAUUUCUGUUUAAAUUUUGUUGGGAUUAAUAAGAUUUCUUCUAGCUAGCAAAGAGAAGCACCUUUCUGACCGACAAAAGUCACUUUAAGAAAGGAAUCAGAAAUUGAUAGAAAGGGUUCCCUUAGGAUGCUUCAUUGAUUUCAAAGGAAAAAAGGCAAGAAAAUAUAUGUAGGGACGAAUCAUUAAAGCACAGCUGUUUGCUUUCUAUCUGUUAUUAGAACCACAAACUUAGAAAUUAGGAUAGAAUUACACCACUCUGAAAGCUCUUUUACUAGAUGUCACUGUUCAAUAUCUCUAGAGAAAAUGACAUAACAACAGAAAAGAAUCAAAUGAUGUCAUAUUAGAAAAGCCAAAGGGCUGCAGGUGAAAUUCACAUAGGCAGGACACAAGGGAACAAGAGAUCAGUUGCCAAAAGCUGAUAUUACUGCCCUGAAAUUUUAGUCCUGAAGCUAUGAAUUGAAUCUUCUGGUGUAUAUUUUCUCAUUUAUCGAAUCAUUGUAAAUUUAAUUCAUUAUAGGGGGUAAAAUAGUUGUACCACAAGCUUACAAACAAACAUGUCAUCAGAUUAUUG